GUCACCUGACAGCAACACUUGACCCAAAUGAUUGCACCAACCGGGUGAACACUCCGGGGGUUGAACCGGACUCAACGAGCCUGGUGUGAGAUAGAAGCAGGAGGAUGAACUUCAGGGUCGCUGCUGGAGAGGGAGCCAGUUGCUUUAUAUGGAGUACACCAUGUUUCUACAGAAGCCCAGAAGGGACAAACCAAACACUGACUCUCGACUGGAGAUGUGUAGUUUCAGUUCUUGAAACUCAUGAUGGUCGUCCAAUACAGACGCGAGCUGUAUUCAUCUGGUUGAAAUCUGCAACUUAACGGCUAGAUGCUACUAAAUCCUACACACGGGUCUUUUAACUAAUGUGAGGAAGACUCAAACUGUACAGUAACUGUUAAAGUGUAACAGGACAGUGAAUCUGUGGUUUCUGCUCACAUUCACAGGGAGGAAAAAUCUUAUCAAAUAACACACACAGUCUGUGGAUUCUUUAGAAGUGAGUAAUUCCUGGGAAAAACAUCUGACAGGAAGUGUGUGUGUGUGUGUGUGUGUGUGUGCAUGUUACAGUGUGUGUCUGUGUGUGUGUGUGUGUGUGUGUUACAGUGUGUGUGUUAUCUCAAACCUCGGACUGACUCAGUGUGUGUGAGCUCUAACUAAUAAAAAACAAUCUG
rnacentral:lncRNA from 1 species